rnacentral:rRNA from 1 species
GUGGGGAAUCUUGCGCAAUGGGCGAAAGCCUGACGCAGCAACGCCGCGUGCGGGAUGAAGGCCUUCGGGUUGUAAACCGCUUUCAGCAGGGACGAAAAUGACGGUACCUGCAGAAGAAGCUCCGGCUAACUACGUGCCAGCAGCCGCGGUAAUACGUAGGGAGCAAGCGUUGUCCGGAUUUAUUGGGCGUAAAGAGCUCGUAGGCGGUUUCGUAAGUCGAGUGUGAAAAAUCUGGGCUUAACCCAGUGGAGCACUCGAUACUGCGAUGACUUGAGUCUGGUAGAGGAGUGUGGAAUUCCUGGUGUAGCGGUGAAAUGCGCAGAUAUCAGGAGGAACACCAACGGCGAAGGCAGCACUCUGGGCCAGUACUGACGCUGAGGAGCGAAAGCGUGGGGAGCAAACAGGAUUAGAUACCCGUGUAGUCC